rnacentral:lncRNA from 1 species
GGCAAAGUGUUUGUCCUAUUAAUUUAUCUUUUCUUUUAUUCUUUAUAUCUGCUAAAAAUUGAUAAAUGCGUACAAAUUCAUAAAUAAAAUCUAAAAAUUACAAAACAAAAUUUGUUCAGCUCCACAUAUGUAGAUCUAUGUAGUAAACAAAAAAUAUUAUAAAUUUUAGUAUAUUUUUUUGCUGGAGAUGCAUGCCUAUGCUUUUUAGUGUAAAAUUUAAAUUGUAUUUAUCUUGCUCCAAUUAUUAUAAAAAAUUUAUGGUAGCCUAUUUAAUGUGAUGUUUGAUUUGUAGUAAAAGUUUUAGAACCAUUUCUGCAUAUCUCACUGAUUUACUAAUUUACCUAAAUUUAUGCUUGCUAAAUAGUUUAGCAUCAAUUUAAGUGUGUAAAAAUAUAAAAAAAAUACUUCCACUACCUUUGCACAAUGUGUUUUUAUAUCAUAUGAACACUUCAUAAGCCCAUAUAUUUAUAAUCUACAUACAUUUAACUGAUAUAUCAUAUUUUAUAGAAAUCCUAAUCUAAAUAAAAAAAUAAAGCUACCAACAAACUUCUCAUGUUUUAAUAUAAUACUAUUUUUGUUAUUAAAUAAAUAUGUCUCCAAGCUACAUAAUAUUGUAAAUAUUAAAUAUCUCAUACCAUACCAAAAUUUUCUUCUGCUUCCGUCUCGGUCAGAAUCGGUCUCUCCGUCUGUUUAAGGCUGGUAGGAGAAAAAAAAAUAAAAUAUUUUUUAAGGUUCCCAAUACAAAAUCUCCGAUUUACAUUUUCUAUCCGUUCUCGGAUAGCCUCGGCCGUCCGCUUGUAAAAGAGCAAAAAGGAAAUAAUUUUUUUUCAGGGUUCCUAAUACAAAAUCUCUUAUAUCCUAUUAAUUUUCUUUUCUUUUAUUCUUCAAUUUGGCUAAAAAUUAUAAAUGCAUAGUAAUUCAUAGAAAAUCUAAAUAUUACAAAACAAAUUUUGUUCAGCUCCACAUAUGUAGAUUCAUAUAGUAAACAAAAAAUAGGUGCAAAGUAGCAAAGUGUUUGUCCUAUUAAUUUAUCUUUUCUUUUAUUCUUUAUAUCUGCUAAAAAUUGAUAAAUGCGUACAAAUUCAUAAAUAAAAUCUAAAAAUUACAAAACAAAAUUUGUUCAGCUCCACAUAUGU